rnacentral:rRNA from 1 species
CCUACGGGCGGCAGCAGUGAGGAAUAUUGGUCAAUGGACGAGAGUCUGAACCAGCCAAGUAGCGUGAAGGAUGACUGCCCUAUGGGUUGUAAACUUCUUUUAUAUGGGAAUAAAACGUUCCACGUGUGGGAUUUUGUAUGUACCAUAUGAAUAAGGAUCGGCUAACUCCGUGCCAGCAGCCGCGGUAAUACGGAGGAUCCGAGCGUUAUCCGGAUUUAUUGGGUUUAAAGGGAGCGUAGGUGGAUUGUUAAGUCAGUUGUGAAAGUUUGCGGCUCAACCGUAAAAUUGCAGUUGAAACUGGCAGUCUUGAGUACAGUAGAGGCGGGCGGAAUUCGUGGUGUAGCGGUGAAAUGCUUAGAUAUCACGAAGAACUCCGAUUGCGAAGGCAGUUCACUGGACUGCAACUGACACUGAGGCUCGAAAGUGUGGGUAUCAAACAGGAUUAGAUACCCUAGUAGUC